ACAGAAUCAACUCAAAGUGAAAAGAAAAUAUAUUUUCACUAAGAAAUUGUGAUCACAAGAGAUUUUGGGCUGAUGCAGGGAUAUUUGACAUUGUUUCAUUUUAAAGUUUCGUUCCUUCAGCUUGCUGGCUUUCUUCUUCCAUGCUAUGUCCUGGCCCGCUCAUGGUAUACUUUGUACACCAGGAGGAGGCGACAGGAUCAAAAUGGAGGAUCAUAAACUGGGGAAGGAACUCUCCAGCUUUAGAUAUCGGCACAGAAAAGACUUAUGUUGUGGUGUUUUAUUGUUUAAUUUGAUACCAAAGAUUUCUUAUGGAUUAUUUUCUUGGCUGUUUAUGGUUUGUACAAUAGACUAUGUUGAUGUUUUUUUUUAUAAAAAUGUGUAUUUUAUGACUACAUCCUAGCAAAAAACAAGGCUCUAGCUUGUACCUAUUAUAGCAAUUGGAUAUCAUGUGACAAACCACCUUAGAGCGGUAUGA